GAGCUUUACUAGAGUACUAUGAACAGUUGCAAGUUUAAAACUCAAAGAACUUGGCGGUGUUUUAGACCAUUUAGGGGAACCUGUCUCAUAAUCGACAAUCCGCGUUGUACCUGACCCUUUUUUGUUUUUCAGUUUGUAUACCGUUGUCGUCAGGUAACUUUUUAGAAGAUAGAAGUUGGCUAGAAAAAAGGUGAUUUAGUACGUCAAAUCAAGGUGCAGCUAAUAGAAGGGGGAGGAUGGGUUACAAUUAUAUAUUUAUAAGUACGAACGGUUGUGUGUAAGCGUGAUCUGUGAAGGCGGACUUAAAAGUAAAUUAGGUUAUAAGAAUAACUUGAAUAAGGCUCUGAAACGUGU
rnacentral:rRNA from 1 species